rnacentral:lncRNA from 1 species
CACAAUAAGCUCCCAAUGGCACAAAUGCUCUUCAGUAGAAAUAUAACCAACUCUCCAACUUGCCACUUUUGCAGCAUUGAGAGGGAAGAUAUAUUCCACGUGCUCUUCAAAUGCAAGAACUCCAAAAUUAUUUGGGCUCAAGCGGGCUUUAGCAAACUACCUCCGGAACCGCCUGCUAAAUACACUCUUCACCACUGGCU